UACGUAGGGUGCAAGCGUUGUCCGGAAUUAUUGGGCGUAAAGAGCGUGUAGGCGGCCAGGUAGGUCAGCUGUGAAAACUCGAGGCUCAACCUCGAGACGUCGGUUGAAACCACCUGGCUAGAGUCCGGAAGAGGAGAGUGGAAUUCCUGGUGUAGCGGUGAAAUGCGCAGAUAUCAGGAAGAACACCCGUGGCGAAGGCGGCUCUCUGGGACGGUACUGACGCUGAGACGCGAAAGCGUGGGGAGCGAGCAGG
rnacentral:rRNA from 1 species